rnacentral:lncRNA from 1 species
CAGGUCCGCACAAUGAGCACAUAUAUGGUAGCAGAUAUGAUGGCCUAAAGGGGGAUACAGGACUUCUUACCUUUUUAUGGCUGAAUAGUAUUCUGCUAUGCAUAUGGACUACAUUUCCUUUUUCUGUUCAUCAGUUGAUGGCCAUUUUGGUAUCCCCAUGUCUUGACUACUGGGAAUAGAGAUACAGUGAACAUAGGAAUACAGACUAAAGGAGUUAUUUUGGCCUACAGCUGAAAAGGAUGGCAUCAUAAUAGAAAUGAGAGUUGGAUGGAUUAUCAGAUAUAGAGAAAAAGAAAAGUGAUGAACCACCCACUCUUCACUCACCCAUGUCAUAAUUACCAUGUGCAGGUCAUCAUAUUAGAUAAUAAGUGGGAAUCCCAGAUGUCUGUCAAUCAGAUCCAUACCUCCAAGACAAAGAAAAUAAAAAUCAAAAUGCACAGAGAACAAUACUGAUUUUCAUUAUUGAAAUAUUCAAAUGGUGACUGGGUUGUCAAAUUCAUCAAAGAAAUUAUAUAUUGACUGUGACACAGCUUUAUUGGUAAGUAAUUUCUUGCAUGUUUAUCCUUUUGAAAUUAUGAAUAACAAAGUCUAUAUAAUUUUAAAUUGUAAGAUAUUUUAGACUAAAUAUAUA